ensembl:snRNA U6 U6 spliceosomal RNA
GUGCUCACCCCAGUAGCACAUAUACUAAGAUUGGGAUGAAACAGAGAAAAUUAGUAUGACCCCUGCACAAGGAUGACAUGUGAAUUUAUGAAGCAUUCCAUAUUAAA